rnacentral:rRNA from 1 species
UACGUAGGUGGCGAGCGUUGUCCGGAUUUACUGGGCGUAAAGGGAGCGUAGGCGGACUUCUAAGUGAGAUGUGAAAUACCCGGGCUCAACUUGGGUGCUGCAUUUCAAACUGGAAGUCUAGAGUGCAGGAGAGGAGAAUGGAAUUCCUAGUGUAGCGGUGAAAUGCGUAGAGAUUAGGAAGAACACCAGUGGCGAAGGCGAUUCUCUGGACUGUAACUGACGCCGAGGCUCGAAAGCGUGGGGAGCAAACAGGAUUAGAUACCCG